CGUCUCUCUGUCCUCAUCCUUUCAGGUUUAGGACCUGCUGGCAGGAUCCUGACGUCGCGGCUCGCAACAAUAAACGAGCUUUCAGUUGUCCUGAGGAGGAGAGAAACCUAAGUGCCUGACUGUCCAGCUGAGAUAAGAAGACUCAGGAAGGAGGGAAACUAGAGAAGACAAAAAUGAUGAAGGGGAAAAGCUCGCACGCCGAAGGCCACGGAGAAGCCUGCAUCACGGGAUUCUAGGACAGUCCUAGGCGUGACGCUCCCGAGCUUUCAUCUGAAGGGUGGAUCUCGCCCCUCCCCAUCUUCCUAUGGCCGGUGGUGAUGGGCACAGGUGGCAGUGUGACAUUGUUGGAAGAAGGGCCCAGGACUUCUGCCACCUCUCACCUCUCGUCUCCUCAGGACACUGGGAAAUUGGGAACCCACCUUCUUCAUUUUCCACACCAAACACAAGCACACAGGUGCCUCCCAUUCGAGAUGAGCGAGAGCCUCUGUGGGGGGGCACAGUCCUGGGGCACUGCCCACCCUGCCCAGCUGCCUUCCCGGAGAAGGCCCUGUGUCCACAAGCCCCACCCACCUCGAAACUGCCCCAGUCCAG